GAACCGUGCGAACGUUGUUCGGAAUCACUGGGCUUAAAGGGCGCGUAGGCGGGUUCUCAAGUCGGGGGUGAAAUCUUUCAGCUCAACUGGAAAACGGCCCCCGAUACUGAGAGUCUCGAGGGAGGUAGGGGCAUGUGGAACUUCCGGUGGAGCGGUGAAAUGCGUAGAUAUCGGAAGGAACGCCGGUGGCGAAAGCGACGUGCUGGACCUCUUCUGACGCUGAGGCGCGAAAGCCAGGGGAGCAAACGGGAUUAGAUACCCCGGUAGUCCUGGCCCUAAACGAUGGGUACUAGAUUGUGGACCGGACAUGGGUUCACAGUCGAAGCAAAAGUGAUAAGUACCCCGCCUGGGGAGUAUGGUCGCAAGGCUGAA
rnacentral:rRNA from 1 species